rnacentral:rRNA from 1 species
AUUGAACGCUGGCGGCAUGCUUUACACAUGCAAGUCGAACGGUAACAGGCCUUCGGGUGCUGACGAGUGGCGAACGGGUGAGUAAUGCAUCGGAACGUACCCAGAGGUGGGGGAUAACGCAGCGAAAGCUGUGCUAAUACCGCAUGUGAUCUGAGGAUGAAAGCGGGGGACCGAGCAGCAAUGUUUGGCCUCGCGCCUUUGGAGCGGCCGAUGUCGGAUUAGCUAGUUGGUGGGGUAAAGGCCUACCAAGGCGACGAUCCGUAGCUGGUCUGAGAGGACGACCAGCCACACGGGGACUGGGACACGGCCCAGAGGCCUACGGGAGGCAGCAGUGGGGAAUGGUGGACAGUGGGCGCAAGCAUGAUCCAACAAUGGCGAGUGCGGGAAGAAGGCCUUGGGGUUGUGAACAGCGUUUGGCAGGAACGAAACGGUGUCCGCUAAUACCGAGCGCUAAUGACGGUACCGGCAGAAUAAGCACCGGCUAACUACGUG